rnacentral:misc_RNA from 1 species
UCUAAGGAGAACGGUUUAGAGCUUAGGCUUUAAACGAACAUCCUAAUGGUCGGUGCUCUCGAGAGACGAAGUUGAGAGACUAAGUUUAGCGAGAGAACAAACAAGAGUCGCAAGACUCAAGCCGAGGGAUCGGCAACUCAUUGGAGAGAGCUGUUGUUUAGUUUUGAGAGACCAGGAAGCAUCGAAGGAAUUCGGUGAAAAAUGGAACCUCACUCACAAAGGAUUGAGGGAAAGGCAGAAAUGCUUGACUAACAGUCCUUAUAUUUUUGACUGGUAAAGUUUGAAGGGAUUGAAUUCCAAUCAAGCGAAACCAGAGUAUGUUCUUUGAAAACUGCAUAGAGAAGAAAACUAGUAAAGUCGAAGAAUUCACAUUAAGACGCAAGUCUUAAGUAAACCUAGAAGUAGCGAUCGAAU